UUCGUAGGCGGUGUGGCAAGUCGGGAGUGAAAUCUCUAGGCUCAACCUAGAGGCUGCUUCCGAAACUGCUGUGCUUGAGUGUGAGAGAGGCUCGUGGAAUUGCAGGUGUAGCGGUGAAAUGCGUAGAUAUCUGCAGGAACACCCGUGGCGAAAGCGGCGAGCUGGAUCACUACUGACGCUGAGGAACGAAAGCUAGGGGAGCAAACAGGAUUAGAUACCCUGGUAGUCCUAGCCCUAAACGAUCAGGACUUGGGGUGGCUUCCGUUCGGAAGUCGUCCCGGAGCUAACGCGUUAAGUCCUGCACCUGGGGAGUACGGUCGCAAGACUGAA
rnacentral:rRNA from 1 species